CCUACGGGUGGCAGCAGUAGGGAAUCUUUCACAAUGGGCGAAAGCCUGAUGGAGCAACGCCGCGUGCAGGAUGAAGGCCUUCGGGUGGUAAACUGCUUUUAUAAGCGAGAAAUAUGAUGGUAACUUAUGAAUAAGGAUCGGCUAACUACGUGCCAGCAGCCGCGGUCAUACGUAGGAUCCGAGCAUUAACCGGAGUGACUGGGUGUAAAGAGUUGCGUAGGUGGCAUAAUAAGUAGCUAGUGAAAUCUGGUGGCUCAACCAUUCAGACUAUUAGCUAAACUGUUAAGCUCGAGACCGUUAGGGGUAACUGGAAUGUCUAGUGUAGGAGUGAAAUCCGUAGAUAUUAGAAGGAACACCAAUAGCGUAGGCAGGUUGCUGGGACGGUUCUGACACUAAGGCACGAAAGCGUAGGGAGCAAACGGGAUUAGAUACCCCUGUAGUC
rnacentral:rRNA from 1 species